GUCACGCUGCAGAGACGAGGCACAAGGUUCCAGAAGGUGCGGCUGAUUUAAGAUCAGGAGAAUUCUUAGGGAGUUUAUUUCAGACCAAUGCUACGAUACAGUGUUGGUGUGGAACGGCAACAAGGUCGGGUCGGGUCAGUGUGUGUAGAGAUAUUGAGCUUUCAUGAGCAAGGUUACACAAAAACAACUCAACGGAUUUCCGUGUAAUUUGGGGGAAAGAUGAAGAGCCCAUUAGAUUUAGCUGCGGAUCCAGGAAUACUGUUUUUCCUCAAUUCCAAAGGGAAUAAUUGAUUUAUUUUGAGAUUUCAGCAAAUCCGGCAUCUUUACGGGGCUGAAAUCUAUGAUUGUGUGAUAUUUGGUGAAGCUUGAUCAGAUUUAACGGGACUGUUGAUGAGGUUUGAGCUCUACCAUGUUCAAGUCGAGUUUGUUGUUCUAUUCAGGCAAAGCACAGACAUGUCAGUGAACUCGGCGCCUGUCCUGUGAGUCUGUGCCAACAUUCAUACGUUGUGUACAAGCAAUAUGCUGCUGUCGAAGAACAAAGGCCUGGUGAGUGACAGAGUGAGCGUGUGUGUCUGCUUACGGGGGGGGGCUGACAUCUGGGACCCACUUUAUUGCCAGUGAGAUGACAGGGUAGCUCCCCUGCAGUGAGUGUGUGUGUGUGUGUGUGUGUUUUGAUGUUCGUCUGGUUAAAGGACAAAAGCUUCGCCGCAGCUGCAUAAGUCGUGCAACCUUUUUUUGGCAGAUGUGCGUCACACUGUGAGCUUUGUGUGUAUUUAGGGUACAAAGUCAGGUGCAGGGGUAGAGAGAGCUGCCAGGCACAAAGAAACCUGGGUUUAUUUUAUUUCCUAUUUAAUCAGGACCUAUCACCAUUUGUGAAAACAAUUAAAAAAAUUGAAGGGUAGAUCCUCCACCAAGCCCUAAUAUUCCCCUAGGAAAUGACUUAAACAUUCAAUAGAGUUGAACCUAAUUGCUCACUCCCAUGAACAUCUGUCUCUAAAUAUGACAGAUUUUGUUCCCCAUCAAGAUCAUUGAAUUAUACCCUGAGCAAUUCGUUUUUAAAAUGUGAUUUUUUUUAAUUCCUGGAUGGGCCCCUUUGUCCAGAUCCGUGCCGAGGCCCAAUCAAAUUGGUCGUGUUGUUUUUGCUUAAUCCUGACAACAGAUAAACAACAAUAAACACAUACAAAUCUAAAACAGGAUUGUUCACUGUCAGUCUCCUUCACGAAGCUCUUAUCAAACGUGUCCAUGUCCAAAUAUUUGAGGAUCUGUGUAAAAAAACCGCAGCUGUGCAUCGGACGUGUUUUUUCCAGUGUGUCACCCUCGCUGUGUUGAGUGUGUGCGUCAUUCAACAGCCAAGGACGAGCUGAUUCCCCUUUGAAACAGAUCCCUGCCUUGCCCAUGUUGGUCCCCCCCCCCCCCCAGAGAUGACACCAGCUAUCUCUCCACUUCCCCUCGGGGCACUGUUCAUCCUCCCAGCCGACAUCUGCUUUGCCUCCAUUGCACACGCCCUUCCCACCGGCGUCCAAACUGGGACAAUGAACCAAAUCACAGGACUGUGGGGACAAAGACUUCCAGCUCGGGGCCCGCCACGUCACCACCACCGGCUGAGGGAGGGGUCUCUGGGGAAGAGGUGAGUAUACAGUUGGAAAAACGUCAUCCUAAUGUGAAUAUGUGGCUUUUGUGCUAUAACAAAAAGUUGUGACGAGUGUGUGUGUAUGUUGUAUUUGCAUGUGUGUGUGUUUGGACAUGUGCUAGAGUGCAAGUGUGUUUCUUUACGUGUCCUGUGAUUGUGUUCGGCCUUUGCUCCAGAGGGUCAAGUCCUGGUUGGUGAGAAAUCUGUCCCUGUCUUCCUACUGGCUAUAACUCUGAUUAGCUCUUUGUAUGGUAACUGUGAGAAAGCUGCAAAGUCAGAGCGUGUGAUUUGAUCUUCACGCUGUUUCGUGAACAGCCCCUCGACUUCCUCAUACCUCCUCAGCUUUCCUUCAGCAAAAAUAACCUAAUCUCAUUACUCAGCCUCUCUCUCUCUCUCUCUCUCUCUCUCUGGUGUUUUUCGGGGGGGAAAAGAGAGAGGACAUAACCCCUCGUCCGUCCCCCCUGUCCCCCUCCUCCUCUCCACCACCUCGCCCUCUGUCUAUCUUUAUCCCUCCUUCUCCAGACCGCCGUGUCACCAGUCGGCCCACACUCACACAGCAGAGGAAUUCAUUCCCGGGUCUGGCAUCAGGCCUUAUUGGGGUGGCGAACCGCCGUGACAUCACCGAUUGGUUUGUGAGCUUCUGUUGUGAAGCCUGGAGUUUGUCCGGCGCCAUCUUGGUUGUUUGAAGGACGAGACCAUAUUUGAUUGGCAGGUGGUUGGAGUCUGGACACUGCACACCCAACUGUAACCUGCACCUAUUGGAUGGUUCUAGCUGUCAAUCACGCGCUAUCCACUGCCCAAAGCAUACCGUGAUUCAUCGUCUAUAUUAUUAUAAAUGGGACCAUCAUUUACUAUAUGAACAUCAUGCUGUAUCGAUGAAGACUUGAAACAGUAUUGAGACCAAGAUCUCCUAAUGAAAAUGUUUACUGGUGUUAUAAAUAAAUAAAGAAGUAGUCUCACCCCCUGCUGGUUGUUUGAGAAAAUGCAGGUUUCACAGAUUUCCAUAAUAGCUACAUAACUGGGCUACAGUUUUGCCAAUUAAAGACUUGUGUAUUAUUGUAUAUAUUAUAUUAUUUUAAACAGUAGAAAUAGAGUCUGAAUGAGGCCUUAGCCACAGAGUUAUUGUGCAACCGUCGAAUCUGUAAAUAACCACUUGAAUCCUACUGGCUGGUAGUUACCCAUGAAGCUCGGGUUAUGGAUUGAUGAAACUCUAAUGUAGAGUCUCAGCUUUUCAGGGCGAAUGAUGAAAUAUGUCAUAUAUGGGAAAUUACUGUGAGUAAUGAAAGCCAGUGGAACCGGACCUAAUGGAGAAUUGGAGUGGGACUCAGCCGCAGCCAAUCCCCAUACACCCUCUGUGUGUGUGUGUGUGUGUGUGUGUGUGUGUGUGUGUGUGUGUGUGUGUGUGUGUGUGUUUGUGUGUGUGUGUGUGUGUGUGUGUGUGUGUGUGUGUGUGUGUGUGUGUGUGUGUGUGUGUGUGUGUGUGUGCUUGUGUGUGUGUGUGUGUGUGUGUAGGAUAUAACUCCAGGUUAUCUUUCAGUUAUAUAAGGGACAGCACAGAGCGGGAUACAGAGAGCGGGCUAAUGGAGAGAAGGUUUUAAGUCCGUCAUGGGAUGUAGAUAGGAGGAGGUAUAUUUCAUGUUGCUGUAAACAGUCGUUCCUCCUCUUCUCCUCCUGCUGUUUUGGACCUUCAGCUCCGGCCGUAAACCAUCUGCGACAUUGCCACCGAGCCUUCCAGAGGUGUGGAGCCAGGAGACAGUCGGAGGAGCCUGGCUGCAAAUCAGAGAAAGUGACAAAGGGGAGAAAAAGGUGUGGGAGAGAAGUCUCAGAUAAUGGAUUUUUGUUUUUAUUCAUUUUUCGCACAGUUCCAAAGAUUGAAGACACCCACUCUUCACUGAUGUGCACGGAUGAGGAGAUCCAUUAUCCCUUAUUGAUUUCACCUGCUAAUUCAUAUCACAGAGGGGGGGUGGGCAGACAAUUAACCUGUCUACACUUCUGCGAAAAUAUAUACUCCAGAUAAGGACACAAAAGUGGCUUCAAACAACACAAAGAUUUGAAUGUAAUCAUGUGUUUUGUGCCGUUUGCUUUUUUAGGUUGAACAACGAGCCCGGCUACUGUGCACAGAUACACAAAUUUUCCCCUAACACACAAAGAAAAAGCUUUGAGAGCCGAGUGAAGCUUUGUAAUAACUUCAGUCUAUACUUACAUUCUGUACGUAUGGUGUUAGUCCCUUCAUGGUUCUGCCGGCUGUCAACACAACCCCAAAAGAGAGCGUGACAACAGAUGCGGGUGAAAAAGUGGGUGAUUGAUACAGGGAGAUAUUACUGGAGGGUGAAAGAGGACACACACACACACACACACAUUCUCCACCGCCCCCCCUCGCAGCUGUUGGCGUGUGGGUUGGAUAUGUGCUCUGACCCGUCGGCCUUCAUCGGGACUAGUUCUUGUAGGACUUAGCGCAGGCCCGGCUGGAAUGGGUUGGACCCCUGCCACGCAUUCCAGUGCCGCCGUGCGCUCUCCGUUGGCCUACUUGUGUCGGGGGGAAAUGCACGGACGGUACACCCACACAGUCAGACAGACACACACACACAAGAACUCUGCAGAGGAGGAAGCCAUCUUGUUGUCUCUCGCUUAGAGUGUAAAUAAAGAGCGACACACAUGCACAUGCACACGGGCAUGCCCACACCACGUGCACUCACAUGAGGCUUAUACAGCUUGAGUUGUACAAACAAAUUGUACGUGCGGGCACACACGCACCGAGCACAGGCACAUGGACAUGAAAGUAUACAGUAUAUAGGAACUUUGUUUACGCUGCACUCUCCUAUAAGAUGAGUAAACACUAACAGGGUGCUCGGCUGUCCUAUAUCACAGCUAACAUGAAAGCACCGUUGAGAGGGAGCGUGGGUAGAAGGACCCGACUCUUAAUACCUCUCAUAAGGGAAACAUCUGCUGCCCCUCACAUCCUCCUUCCUUUUUAAUCUCCCUCCAUGUUCCUCCCGCACCCCUCUGCUCACCCUCUCUGUGUGAAGUUGCUUCUCUCAUCUUGUUCCUCUCUUCUCUCUCCGAGCCCCCAGCUUCUUCUUUUUUCUCUAGACUCCUUCGAGGACUCUCCACCACAGCUGGGGUUGUUUUUGAACCGUCGAGUGCAUCGGAGGCCAGGACGAAAAACAACUGGGCAGCGUUUCUGUGAAAAGCCACUCUCCACUCCCUGCACUGGGCUUCCUCGCAUAUUUCCACUUUUUUGGGGGUCAUGACUAUGCACAGUUGGCUAAAACAGCUGUGGUUCAAAUCCUACAUCCUGCCAUAUACUUUGCGUUUGCCAAAAACACAGAAUUCCAGCGUUGCACCAAAUCACCCGACAACAAAUUUAGGUUUUCUUGGAAUUGUCGGAGUACUGACACGGCAACAAGCUGCUGGACAAACAACAAAAUUUAGUUUGAAUCAUAUCAUGUUUUUCUGCCAUGAAAUAAAGUUCUUAAAGUAUCCUGGCCAAGUCUUCAGAUUUAUGCUUUACUGGAGAAGCUCCUCUCACAGUUCCUUCCUCCUCCUCCUCCUCCUUCCUCUAUUAUGAGGAUUAAAACUGAAUUGAACACUGUGUACAUGCACCAUGUAAACCGCAGUGGCGUGCUGCAACAUGAAAGCAGCCUUUGAUUUUGACUGCAUGCGCCUGGCCUACUUUUUGGAUUCCAUUAAAUUAUUGGGUGGGUGGGAGCAAUACGGCUGCGCUGUCUUUUAAGUAUUAGCCAACUGGAUGUCGGAUGGUGCAUAUGAGUGUGCAUUGACUGUGUGUGUGAGUGUGUGUGUGUGCAUGUGUGUGUGUGUGUGUGUGUGUUGUCCACAUGUGUGUAAGUCAGAGCAAACAGAAGCAGGGAUCUGUUGUAUAUUUGUGCUUGAUUAUAGGACUUUUUGUGCGUGUGCGUGUGUGUGUGUUCAAUUGUAUAAUAUGUGUUUAUUAUGGAUAUAAGUAUUAACGUACUCCUCGUGAAUCACAGUGUCAUGGUACAUUGAUAUAUUUGCAUGUACAAUAUAUAUUACGUUGAAAAGAACAAAGCUCAGAGCAAGGACAUGGCGUCAGACAAAACAGGAACAUUGACUCAUCAUGCAAACAUGAGUACAUGAAGUACUAGAAAGAACAGGGAGAAGUUGUUAGAAGCAGUGAGACCUGGAGCGACAACAUGUCAGACAAUUUAAGAUCUGAUCACAGGUGGUCAGGGGACGUAUUCCAUCGCCUGGUGUGAACUGACUCAGGAACAGUGCGUCCGUGCCUGUAGCUUCGUUGUUGUACUUCAUGCGUAUUUGCAACAAUAGCCGUAUUCAGUGUAUUUGCAUCGGGAGAGAACUUCUUUGUUUGCAUCUUUCCACUGGUGCUGCCAACUCUCUUGGCAAGUAUGCAAAUGUAUUUCACACACAGGAUAUGAUGCAUGAAACAAACAGGUGGCUUGUUUCACACUGGCUAGUGGCUAACUGGUAAAUCCGGUUGAUUGGAUAUUUGGAGAUGUGUUAAUGUCGAGAUCUAAUCUAAAUUGUGUUUUUUUGAAUAUUCAAAUUUCUGACAUUCAUGAUUGACGUGGCUCUAAUGGGACAUCACACUUGUUUGCAUAUUACUGCCACCAGCUGCCGAUCCCUUGAAUAGAUCGGUGUAAACAAAAAAUGCACCCCCACCCAUAAAAUACUGUGCUCUCUAAUCCCAGAGGGUAUCUUCAAUUCAUGGGCGUGUGUAACCAAAGUAGUCUUAGUUCCACAAUACACAUCUACCAAGAUAGAUUCUGAUUCUUAAAUAUCAUGAAUACGUUUAGAGCCUCUAAACGUAUUGUUUGAAAUUUGGUUCCUGGACAUUUUGCUGGAGAUUAAUUUUCCAUCCAUGUUGACGUCUUGUUGAGAGCAACUUUAGGACAAUGUCACGAAAUGAAGAGUAAGAUGAGAAACAGUGAAUCUAGAGUUGUGAUUUGUUUUCUCUUGUGUCUGAAUCCCAUUCACUUCUCUUUGCCUGCAUGCAUCGGUGCCUGUGUGUCAGGGGAGAUCCGACGUGACUGAGAGCACGACUGCAAACAUGUGUUGCCUCACACCAUGAGCUUGUGUGAGUAAGAGUUUGUGCACGUAGCAAGUAUCACAUUUGAACUGUGUGUAUUUUUCUCCCCGGGGACCUAGCAAUCCAAACCUUUGAUUAACCAUCAUGGAGCAAACCUACUCAGCUGAUUUCCACCUAGGUGUUCCCACUGAGCUCUUCAAGGGAGCCAAACAAAGGAGCGUCCACAUGGUUCCUGCCAGCAACAGAAUCUGUUCAAAGAGAAAGAUGAAACCUUCCUCUUCCGCAGCCCUGCCUCGAACCAAGGACAUGUUUGAUGUUUCCCCAAACUGUGUUUAUCUUUGCACGGUGUGUUCCAGCUCCUCCUGGGUUAUCACUCUGUGCCGCACUGUAUAUAUUAAAGCUGGGUGUGUGCCACAAGAGAGGAGUAAAUAACAAUAAUGUAGUGUCUCCACUGACAGGAAAGAAGAAGAGUAGGAAAUUGUGCCUGAUUCACGUACAUAUGACAUUUUAUCAUAAUGUCAUAAUGGUUCUUAAAGGUUUUGAAUAUGCUGAUUCAGAUCAGGACAAAGCCUAAUUAGCUUAGCAUUAGCAUUAACAACCUGCUUGUCUUAAACAACAACCUGCUUUUGUUUAUGUGCCAAAUAAACAAACUAAAUGCAAACAUCUUUGUGAUAAUGGAGUCGUUCUGAAUGAGCUCACUUUUGCUUCUUUAACUUAUUAUAAGGAAUAAAGUUCUUUAAGAAAGUUCU